rnacentral:tRNA from 1 species
GGGGACUUAGCUUAGUUGUAGAGCGUCUGCCUAGCAAGCACAAAGCCCUGGGUUCGGUCCCCAGCUCCG